AGCGCAGGCGGGAAGGUAAGUCUAUCUUAAAAGUGCGGGGCUCAACCCCGUGAGGGGAUAGAAACUAUCAUUCUUGAGUGCAGGAGAGGAAAGCGGAAUUCCUAGUGUAGCGGUGAAAUGCGUAGAUAUUAGGAGGAACACCAGUGGCGAAGGCGGCUUUCUGGACUGUAACUGACGCUGAGGCUCGAAAGCCAGGGGAGCGAACG
rnacentral:rRNA from 1 species